UUGAAAAUUUGUUCUGAUAUAUGUUCUUCACAGAAAAUGAGCCAAGGCCAAUGAGUCUGAGAGAUCGGAAGAGGGU